rnacentral:rRNA from 1 species
AUUGAACGCUGGCGGCAGGCCUAACACAUGCAAGUCGAGCGGAUGAAGGGAGCUUGCUCCUGGAUUCAGCGGCGGACGGGUGAGUAAUGCCUAGGAAUCUGCCUGGUAGUGGGGGAUAACGUCCGGAAACGGGCGCUAAUACCGCAUACGUCCUGAGGGAGAAAGUGGGGGAUCUUCGGACCUUACGCUAUCAGAUGAGCCUAGGUCGGAUUAGCUAGUUGGUGGGGUAAAGGCCUACCAAGGCGACGAUCCGUAACUGGUCUGAGAGGAUGAUCAGUCACACUGGAACUGGGACACGGUCCAGACUCCUACGGGAGGCAGCAGUGGGGAAUAUUGGACAAUGGGCGAAAGCCUGAUACAGCCAUGCCGCGUGUGUGAAGAAGGUCUUCGGAUUGUAAAGCCCUUUAAGUUGGGAGGAAGGGCAGUAAGUUAAUACCUUGCUGUUUUGACGUUACCAACAGAAUAAGCACCGGCUAACUUCGUG